UUGGAGGGCAAGUCUGGUGCCAGCAGCCGCGGUAAUUCCAGCUCCAAUAGCGUAUAUUAAAGUUGUUGCAGUUAAAAAGCUCGUAGUUGAAUUUCGGGAUCAAUAUAUCGGUCGUGCCAUUGGUACGUACUGGUAUCAUUGGUUUCUCCUUUCUGACGAACCAUGAUGUCAUUAAUUUGGUGUUAUGGGAAGUUAGGACUGUUACUUUGAAAAAAUUAGAGUGUUUAAAGCAGGCUUUGGCUUGAAUACAUUAGCAUGGAAUAAUGAAAUAGGACGUUCGAACCUAUUUUGUUGGUUUCUAGGAUCAACGUAAUGAUUAAUAGGGAUAGUUGGGGGCAUUAGUAUUCAAUUGUCAGAGGUGAAAUUCUUGGAUUUAUUGAAGACUAACUACUGCGAAAGCAUUUGCCAAGGAUGUUUUCAUUAAUCAAGAACGAAAGUUAGGGGAUCGAAGACGAUCAGAUACCGUCGUAGUCUUAACCAUAAACUAUGCCGACUAGGGAUCGGAUGAUGUUAAUUUUUUAAUGACUCAUUCGGCGCCUUACGGGAAAC
rnacentral:rRNA from 1 species